rnacentral:lncRNA from 1 species
UUUGUGUAUUUUUAGUAGAGAUGGGGUUUCACCUUGUUAGCCAAGAUGGUCUCGAUCUCCUGACCUUGUGAUCUGCCCACCUCGGCCUCCCAAAGUGCUGGGAUUACAGGCGUGAGCAACUGCGCCUGGCCAACACAUUUUAUUUUUUGCAAUGAAACUCUUUAAAGAACUAGAACAUGGUUGGGCAUCGUGGCUCACACCUGUAAUCCCAGUGAGAGGUGAAGCCAGCUGGACUUCCUGGGUCAAGCGGAGACUUGGAGAACUUUUCUGUGUCUAGCUAAAGGAUUGUAAAUGCACCAAUAAGCACUCUGUAAAAUGGACCAAUCAGUGCUCUGUAAGAUGGACCAAUCAUCAGUUGGCAACACAAGCAAAACUCGUCUCAAACAACAACAACAACAACAACAAAACUAGAACAUACCUAUUUUCCACAGUAAAAGACAAAUGGAGAAAAUUCAUCAUUUUUCUGCUCUUUGUAAAUGAAUGCAGAGUCUGGCCUGGUGCAGUGGCUCAUGCCUGUAUUCCCAGCACUUUGGCAGGCGGAGGCAGGCGGAUCACGAGGUCAGGAGAUUGAGACCAUCCUGGCUAACACGGUGAAACCUCGUCUCUACUAAAAACACAAAAAAAUAGCCGGGCGUGGUGGCAGGCGCCUGAGAGAACUGAGUUCAGGAGAGAAGGAUGUCCUGUUUCAUAUGGUGAGUGAAAAUAUAAACAGUAUGAGGUGGUAGUGUGUAGACAAAAUUAUCAGGAUUUUUUUUUUUUAAGAGUAGCACAUAGUUUCCAACACCUAUAAGGUGGUGGAGUUAGGAGCAAUAUUUUGCGGGCAAGGGGUGGAUCUCACAAAGUACAUUCUCAAGGGUGGGGAGAAGUAGGAACUAUAUGAAAGGAGGUUAAAAAGAUUUUUGUUCUUUUCCUUUGAAUAUUUCUGUUCUUCAGUUGAAGAAAUGUUGUAUGACUGUAUGGAUAAGGAUUAAUAGAGUUGUUUUUAAAAAGGGUCUAAAAAGCAUUUACAGACUGAACAUAUACCUGUGUGUAUAUAUACCGAGAUUUUAUGUAAAAUAUUUAAAUGUAUGUAUACUCAUAGGAAAUG